UACAAUAAGGCUUUCGUGGGUGGCGGUUUCACUCCCCUGACUUAAAAAUAGGGAAGGGGGUGAUGCCUAUAUGACGGUUUUUGAAACGCUUGUUUUAAUGAUUUCCUUCGGGACGUUAAUUGUUGCAAUACUGUCGAGCCAUAAAAAAUAACCACCCAUGAGCCUGGCAAGCAUGGUGGGUAGUUAUUUCUUAAAAACCUAUGUGUGAGCCGCCCCCUUGAAGGGCAGUUGUACAGAACCGUUGGUGGAGAACACCAGCGG
rnacentral:sRNA from 1 species